CGCACUCUUUCUCUCUCUCAUCACGGCGCCGACGCAAACGAUCGAUUCACCACCGACCUCCGUUGACGCCACCUCUCUCCCUCACCACCGACGCCGCCCCACAGGCAAUCGGUUUCCUGGCGUGGUCUCGAUGUCAAACCUGUUGGCCGGCGUAUAAUCUUGAAGUCUGGGUCGAAGUGCUGAGGUUCAAGGUAGUGGUGGGAAUCCACUCUUGGGGAAACAAGCUGCGGAAGAAUCAAAGCAAGCAAUUGUUGCUUCCCUUAAAGGCUCUGAUCUUGUGUUCAUAAUAGCAGGGUAAAUGGCGAUCUCUAUGUGACUACAAGCAAUGAGAGGGCAAAUUGUGCGACAAUGUCAACGGUUUCACCAACAAUGAUAAGGAUUUGUGACCAAUUUUCAAGCGGCCAAAAUAGGUAAAAAAAUUUGAAUGGCUUAUUUUCUCCACCAGUUUGAUCUGUUGUCUUUAUUGGUUAAAAAAAAUAUACAGCUUUAUAAGAUUGUUUAGUGGUGAAUUGAUGAUCAUAUUAUGCAUCUCUCUUUGUUUGUGUCCCCACCGUGUCGCCGUGUCCCCAUGUCCAACGGUACCCUUUUGGAGUGUCGGUACUUCAUAUUUCUGAAGCUCUCUUUUAACAACUUUGAAGGCAAAUGUUAGCCAGAAUAAUUUUGAUACAGAUAGGUGGGCUAUCUAGGUAAAUCACUUGAAUUCUGAAAGGUGUUGAUACAUCUUAGAACAAGUUUUACUCAACUUUUUUCCAAAAAACUUUUUCCUAAAGCUGAAUCAAGUUGGCACAUUUUUUUUUUGAUCAGCAAAAAUAAUUUUUAUUAAGUUGGCACAUUUUGGAAGGUGCAAGAAUCCAAAACCUGGGAAUUAUAAGCGUUUUAAGUAGUUAGACCUAUCGUGGCUUCUGAUUUCCCCAAUAAUAGUUAUAUUUUGCUUCGAUUUGAGUUUUACACAGAUCCUACGAUUGUUUUGGCUUUUUAGUGAUUUGCGUUGGGCUUCUAAUUUCCCAAUUCGUAUGAUGGUUCAUUCUACUUGAGUAAGGAUUUAAUAGAGAAACCAAGUCCUUUUGUCUCCAUGCAAAAAAAAUUGUUCUUCUUCAUUUACCAUCCCUCUGAAAAAUUAUUUUGCUACAUUGUGCAAAAAAUGUCCAAGUCAUCAAAUUAGGUUGUAAACAAGACAAGGACACAGUUUUGGAUUCAAGUAAAAAUGAUUGAUCGAGGAAAA